UAGCUUUUGGUGGGGUAACUGCCUACCAAGGCGAUGAUCAGUAGGGGCUCUUAACGGAGUGGCCCCGAGAAGGAAUCUGAGACACUAUUCCUAGCCUGACGGGGUGCAGCAGCUGCGAAUUUUUUACAAUGCACGAAAGGGUGAUAGAGCGAACCAAAGUGCUUACCUUUCGGUAAGCUUUUCUUCUGUGUAAAAAACAGGAGGAAUAAGGACUGGGAAAGACCGGUGCCAGCCGCCGCGGUAAUACCGGCAGUUCAAGUGGCAUCCAACUUUAUUGGGUCUAAAACAUCCGUAGCUUGUUUGUUAAGUCUCUUGUGAAAUCUCACGUCUCAAGCGUGGGGCUUGCAGGGGAUACUGGCAAACUUGAGAUCGGUAGACGUAAGGAGUACGAUCAAGGUAAUGGUUAAAUAUGUUAAUCUUGGUUGGACUAACGAUUAGCGAAGGCACCUUACGAGGACGAGUCUGACAGUGAGGGAUGAAGGCCUGGGGCGCAAAACGGAUUAGAUACCCGUGUAGUCCUGGCAGUAAACACUGUUCACUAAACAUCGGAACCUCUUCGGGAGGAUUCGGUGCUGAAGGGAAGCCGAAGAGUGAACUACCUGGGAAGUAUAGUCGCAAGGUCGAAACUCAAAGGAAUUGACGG
rnacentral:rRNA from 1 species